rnacentral:rRNA from 1 species
AGUGAACGCUGGCGGUAGGCCUAACACAUGCAAGUCGAACGGCAGCACAGUAAGAGCUUGCUCUUACGGGUGGCGAGUGGCGGACGGGUGAGGAAUACAUCGGAAUCUACUUUUUCGUGGGGGAUAACGUAGGGAAACGUACGCUAAUACCGCAUACGACCUACGGGUGAAAGCAGGGGAUCUUCGGACCUUUCGCGAUUGAAUGAGCCGAUGUCGGAUUAGCUAGUUGGCGGGGUAAGGGCCCACCAAGGCGACGAUCCGUAGCUGGUCUGAGAGGAUGAGCAGCCACGCUGGAACUGAGACACGGUCAAGAAUCCUCCGGGAGGCAGCAGGGGGGAAUAUUGGACGAUGGGCGAAAGCCUGAUCCAGCCAUAUCGCGUGGGUGAAGAAGGCCUUCGGGUUGUAAAGCCCUUUUGUCGGGAAAGAAAAGCAGCAGGUUAAUCCCGCGCUGGUCUGACGUUAACCAAAGAAUAAGCACCGGCUAACUUCGUG